rnacentral:misc_RNA from 1 species
AAGUCGUAACAAGGUAACCGUAGGUGAACCUGCGGUUGGAUCAUUAACAAAGAAAAGGGACUUCGUUCGUUCUUUGUAGUUUAAUUCGUUCGUUCGUUCUUGUAGUUUGGUUCGUUCGUUCGUUUUUUAAAAAUGUGUCCCCACAUUUUGUGAACUGUAAAGUCUCUGGCGGCUGGGUGUAACUAACCUUAGGGCCAUGUUGCAUCUGUCAACUUGAGAAAUCAGGUCGUGGACAAACCGCCAACCAUCUGUUUUGACUUGAUGUAUUUAUAUUUUUUAUCUAACAUUUACUUGUAUAAAUUAUACAAACAACUUUUGGCAACGGAUCUCUUGGCUCUU